UACGUAGGGUGCGAGCGUUAAUCGGAAUUACUGGGCGUAAAGCGUGCGCAGGCGGUUCUCCAAGUCCGUUGUGAAAGCCCCGGGCUCAACCUGGGAAUGGCAGUGGAAACUAGGGACUGGAAUCUGGCAGAGGGGGGUGGAAUGCCGGCGUGUAGCAGUGAAAUGCGUAGAGAUGCGGCGGAACACCGAUGGCGAAGGCAGCCCCCUGGGCUGAGAUUGACGCUCAGGCACGAAAGCGUGGGGAGCAAACAGGA
rnacentral:rRNA from 1 species